UACGGGGGAUGCGAGCGUUAUCCGGAUUUAUUGGGUUUAAAGGGUGCGUAGGCGGUCCGUUAAGUCAGCGGUAAAAUUGCGGGGCUCAACCCCGUCGAGCCGUUGAAACUGGCAGACUUGAGUUGGCGAGAAGUACGCGGAAUGCGCGGUGUAGCGGUGAAAUGCAUAGAUAUCGCGCAGGACUCCGAUUGCGAAGGCAGCGUACCGGCGCCAGACUGACGCUGAGGCACGAAAGCGUGGGGAUCGAACAGG
rnacentral:rRNA from 1 species